rnacentral:rRNA from 1 species
UACGUAGGGGGCAAGCGUUGUCCGGAUUUAUUGGGGCGUAAAGAGCGUGUAGGCGGCCUGAAAGGUCAGCUGUGAAACUCGAGGCUCAACCUCGAGACGUCGGUUGAAACCAUCUGGCUAGAGUCCGGAAGAGGAGAGUGGAAUUCCCGGUGUAGCGGUGAAAUGCGCAGAUAUCGGGAAGAACACCCGUGGCGAAGGCGGCUCUCUGGGACGGUACUGACGCUGAGACGCGAAAGCGUGGGGAGCGAACAGG